AUGAACGCUGGCGGCGUGCUUAACACAUGCAAGUCGAACGAAACAUCUUAUUUGAUUUUCUUCGGAACUGAAGAUUUGGUGAUUGAGUGGCGGACGGGUGAGUAACGCGUGGGUAACCUGCCCUGUACAGGGGGAUAACAGUCAGAAAUGACUGCUAAUACCGCAUAAGACCACAGCACCGCAUGGUGCAGGGGUAAAAACUCCGGUGGUACAGGAUGGACCCGCGUCUGAUUAGCUGGUUGGUGAGGUAACGGCUCACCAAGGCGACGAUCAGUAGCCGGCUUGAGAGAGUGAACGGCCACAUUGGGACUGAGACACGGCCCAAACUCCUACGGGAGGCAGCAGUGGGGAAUAUUGCACAAUGGGGGAAACCCUGAUGCAGCGACGCCGCGUGAGUGAAGAAGUAUCUCGGUAUGUAAAGCUCUAUCAGCAGGGAAGAAAAUGACGGUACCUGACUAAGAAGCCCCGGCUAACUACGUGCCAGCAGCCGCGGUAAUACGUAGGGGGCAAGCGUUAUCCGGAAUUACUGGGUGUAAAGGGUGCGUAGGUGGUAUGGCAAGUCAGAAGUGAAAACCCAGGGCUUAACUCUGGGACUGCUUUUGAAACUGUCAGACUGGAGUGCAGGAGAGGUAAGCGGAAUUCCUAGUGUAGCGGUGAAAUGCGUAGAUAUUAGGAGGAACAUCAGUGGCGAAGGCGGCUUACUGGACUGAAACUGACACUGAGGCACGAAAGCGUGGGGAGCAAACAGGAUUAGAUACCCUGGUAGUCCAUGCCGUAAACGAUGAUUACUAGGUGUUGGGGGAUUGACCCCCUCAGUGCCGCAGUUAACACAAUAAGUAAUCCACCUGGGGAGUACGACCGCAAGGUUGAAACUCAAAGGAAUUGACGGGGGCCCGCACAAGCAGUGGAGUAUGUGGUUUAAUUCGACGCAACGCGAAGAACCUUACCAAGGCUUGACAUAUACAGGAAUAUAUAAGAGAUUAUAUAGCUCUUCGGAGUCUGUAUACAGGUGGUGCAUGGUUGUCGUCAGCUCGUGUCGUGAGAUGUUGGGUUAAGUCCCGCAACGAGCGCAACCCCUAUCUUUAGUAGCCAGCAAUUCGGAUGGGCACUCUAGAGAGACUGCCAGGGAUAACCUGGAGGAAGGUGGGGACGACGUCAAAUCAUCAUGCCCCUUAUGACCAGGGCUACACACGUGCUACAAUGGCGUAAACAGAGGGAAGCAGCCUCGUGAGAGUGAGCAAAUCCCAAAAAUAACGUCUCAGUUCGGAUUGUAGUCUGCAACUCGACUACAUGAAGCUGGAAUCGCUAGUAAUCGCGAAUCAGAAUGUCGCGGUGAAUACGUUCCCGGGUCUUGUACACACCGCCCGUCACACCAUGGGAGUCAGUAACGCCCGAAGUCAGUGACCCAACCGCAAGGAGGGAGCUGCCGAAGGCGGGACCGAUAACUGGGGUG
rnacentral:rRNA from 1 species